rnacentral:rRNA from 1 species
CAAACGACUCUCGGCAACGGAUAUUUCGGCUCUCGCAUCGAUGAAGAACGUAGCGAAAUGCGAUACUUGGUGUGAAUUGCAGAAUCCCGUGAACCAUCGAGUUUUUGAACGCAAGUUGCGCCCAAAGCCAUCCGGCUGAGGGCACGCCUGCCUGGGCGUCACGC